rnacentral:rRNA from 1 species
GGGCCCGCACAAGCGGUGGAGCAUGUGGUUUAAUUCGAUGAUACGCGAGGAACCUUACCAGGGUUUAAAUGCAGAACGACAGGGGUGGAAACACCCCCUUCUUCGGACGGACUGCAAGGUGCUGCAUGGUUGUCGUCAGCUCGUGCUGUGAAGUGUCGGGUUAAGUCCCAUAACGAGCGCAACCCCCAUUUCUAGUUGCCAGCGGUUCGGCCGGGGACUCUAGAGAAACUGCCAGCGUAAGCUGUGAGGAAGGUGGGGAUGACGUCAAAUCAUCACGGCCCUUACAUCCUGGGCCACACACGUGCUACAAUGGUGGGGACAACAGGUUGCCAACCCGCGAGGGUGAGCCAAUCCCAAAACCCCAUCUCAGUUCGGAUCGGAGUCUGCAACUCGACUCCGUG